CACCUUGAUCAGAAGUUCGUGGAUAUUUGGCAGUCUAGACAAUGAUCAAACCAGCAACUAAGAUGAAGAAGUCAUUUCUCAGCAACGCUGGUUACACAGGUCAAUAAAUGCAGGAUUUGAGGAACCAUCUUCAAAGUACAUGGAAUGAGGAUUUCCAUAAAGCUGUGAUUCGGGACAAUUUUUCCUUGAUUGUCACACAGCUUCGGAUAUCGGCAGUGUUCUACAGACUGCUACGGGAAAAGGGGAUUCUAUCUGACCCACAAA